AUACCGGAUACUGACCUUCACGGGCAUCCGUGGGGGUCGAAAGCUCCGGCGGUGCAGGAUGAGCCCGCGGCCUAUCAGCUUGUUGGUGAGGUAAUGGCUCACCAAGGCGACGACGGGUAGCCGGCCUGAGAGGGCGACCGGCCACACUGGGACUGAGACACGGCCCAGACUCCUACGGGAGGCAGCAGUGGGGAAUAUUGCACAAUGGGCGGAAGCCUGAUGCAGCGACGCCGCGUGAGGGAUGACGGCCUUCUGGUUGUAAACCUCUUUCAGCAGGGAAAAAUCGAAAGUGACGGUACCUGCAGAAUAAGCGCCGGCUAACUACGUGCCAGCAGCCGCGGUAAUACGUAGGGCGCAAGCGUUGUCCGGAAUUAUUGGGCGUAAAGAGCUCGUAGGCGGCUUGUCGCGUCGGUUGUGAAAGCCCGGGGCUUAACCCCGGGUCUGCAGUCGAUACGGGCAGGCUAGAGUUCGGUAGGGGAGAUCGGAAUUCCUGGUGUAGCGGUGAAAUGCGCAGAUAUCAGGAGGAACACCGGUGGCGAAGGCGGAUCUCUGGGCCGAUACUGACGCUGAGGAGCGAAAGCGUGGGGAGCGAACAGGAUUAGAUACCCUGGGUAUUCCACGCCGUAAACGGUGGGCACUAGGUUGUGGGCAACAUUCCACGUUGUCCGUGCCGCAGCUAACGCAUUAAUGUGCCCCGCCUGGGGAGUACGGCCGCAAGGCUAA
rnacentral:rRNA from 1 species